UCUCCCCCCUUUUUUUCGUUUAAGUGAAGGCCGAAAGCCGAGCAUGAUCUGUGCCUCUUGGUAAGAUCUCAGCCAUUGGAUUAAUGGCCACCGUCCCUCCAACCGUGACAACAUAUUGACCCAUUUUAUUUUAUUUUAUUUAGAGACAAUAAUGGCAGACGUGAGACACGUGAGUACAUGUUAUCUUUAUUUGAGAAACGUGAGUACAUGUUAUCAGAGAUAAAGUAAUGCACACCUUUUUUUUUUUUUUCCUAUACAAAAUCAUCAUGCGAGUCCUUGGCCGUCUGAUUGCACAUAGUUGAUCAGUACU
rnacentral:lncRNA from 1 species